UUGACCUCAAAUCAGGAGG
rnacentral:rRNA from 1 species